UGCCAGCCGCCGCGGUAAUACGGAGGGUGCGAGCGUUAAUCGGAAUUACUGGGCGUAAAGGGCGCGUAGGUGGUUUGAUAAGUCGGAUGUGAAAGCCCCGGGCUCAACUUGGGAAUUGCAUUCGAUACUGUCUGGCUAGAGUGUGGUAGAGGGAAGCGGAAUUCCGGGUGUAGCGGUGAAAUGCGUAGAUAUCCGGAGGAACAUCAGUGGCGAAGGCGGCUGCCUGGCUCAAUACUGACACUGAGGUGCGAAAGCGUGGGGAGCAAACAGGAUUAGAUA
rnacentral:rRNA from 1 species